rnacentral:rRNA from 1 species
UACGUAGGUGGCAAGCGUUGUCCGGAAUUAUUGGGCGUAAAGCGCGCGCAGGCGGUUCCUUAAGUCUGAUGUGAAAGCCCCCGGCUCAACCGGGGAGGGUCAUUGGAAACUGGGGAACUUGAGUGCAGAAGAGAAGAGCGGAAUUCCACGUGUAGCGGUGAAAUGCGUAGAGAUGUGGAGGAACACCAGUGGCGAAGGCGGCUCUUUGGUCUGUAACUGACGCUGAGGCGCGAAAGCCAGGGGAGCAAACGGG